UAUCUCCUGUUCAUGAUCUUUCUCUCGAUGUGGUGUGAUGUGUUUGUUAUCAUGGUGCCCAGUUUGUUCGCUUCUCCUUUUUGGGUUCCAGAAAGAACCUGAAAACCACCUCAUUCCAACGAACGCCAAAAGGAAAACAACUCCCUAUGAUUUGGCU
rnacentral:ribozyme from 1 species